CUCGAUAUGGCAGAAAAAUGCAAUAGUCUUAAAGCCUAUAUAUAGUAGUUUACUUUUCGAAA
rnacentral:tRNA from 1 species